GACGAACGCUGGUGGCGUGCUUAACACAUGCAAGUCGAACGGAAAGGCCCUGCUUUUGUGGGGUGCUCGAGUGGCGAACGGGUGAGUAACACGUGAGUAACCUGCCCUUGACUUUGGGAUAACUUCAGGAAACUGGGGCUAAUACCGGAUAGGAGCUCCUGCUGCAUGGUGGGGGUUGGAAAGUUUCGGCGGUUGGGGAUGGACUCGCGGCUUAUCAGCUUGUUGGUGGGGUAGUGGCUUACCAAGGCUUUGACGGGUAGCCGGCCUGAGAGGGUGACCGGCCACAUUGGGACUGAGAUACGGCCCAGACUCCUACGGGAGGCAGCAGUGGGGAAUAUUGCACAAUGGGCGGAAGCCUGAUGCAGCAACGCCGCGUGCGGGAUGACGGCCUUCGGGUUGUAAACCGCUUUCGCCUGUGACGAAGCGUGAGUGACGGUAAUGGGUAAAGAAGCACCGGCUAACUACGUGCCAGCAGCCGCGGUGAUACGUAGGGUGCGAGCGUUGUCCGGAUUUAUUGGGCGUAAAGGGCUCGUAGGUGGUUGAUCGCGUCGGAAGUGUAAUCUUGGGGCUUAACCCUGAGCGUGCUUUCGAUACGGGUUGACUUGAGGAAGGUAGGGGAGAAUGGAAUUCCUGGUGGAGCGGUGGAAUGCGCAGAUAUCAGGAGGAACACCAGUGGCGAAGGCGGUUCUCUGGGCCUUUCCUGACGCUGAGGAGCGAAAGCGUGGGGAGCGAACAGGCUUAGAUACCCUGGUAGUCCACGCUGUAAACGGUGGGUACUAGGUGUGGGGUCCAUUCCACGGGUUCCGUGCCGUAGCUAACGCUUUAAGUACCCCGCCUGGGGAGUACGGCCGCAAGGCUAAAACUCAAAGGAAUUGACGGGGCCCCGCACAAGCGGCGGAGCAUGCGGAUUAAUUCGAUGCAACGCGUAGAACCUUACCUGGGUUUGACAUGGAUCGGGAGUGCUCAGAGAUGGGUGUGCCUCUUUUGGGGUCGGUUCACAGGUGGUGCAUGGCUGUCGUCAGCUCGUGUCGUGAGAUGUUGGGUUAAGUCCCGCAACGAGCGCAACCCUUGUUCACUGUUGCCAGCACGUUAUGGUGGGGACUCAGUGGAGACCGCCGGGGUCAACUCGGAGGAAGGUGGGGAUGACGUCAAGUCAUCAUGCCCCUUAUGUCCAGGGCUUCACGCAUGCUACAAUGGCUGGUACAGAGAGUGGCGAGCCUGUGAGGGUGAGCGAAUCUCGGAAAGCCGGUCUCAGUUCGGAUUGGGGUCUGCAACUCGACCUCAUGAAGUCGGAGUCGCUAGUAAUCGCAGAUCAGCAACGCUGCGGCGAAUACGUUCCCGGG
rnacentral:rRNA from 1 species